GUGCUUGCUUCAGCAGUACAUACGCUAAAAUUGGGACCAUACAGAGAAGAUUAGCAUGGCCAGUGCACAAAAAUGACACGCAAAUUCGUGAAGAGUAAUUACUGUAC
ensembl:snRNA U6 U6 spliceosomal RNA